rnacentral:rRNA from 1 species
GACGAACGCUGGCGGCGUGCCUAAUACAUGCAAGUAGAACGCAGUUGAGAACGGGUGAGAAAAGCGUAGGUACCUGCCUAUUAGAGGGGGGUAACUAUUGGAAACGAUAGCUAAUACCGCAUACUAGCUGAUGGACCUGCGUUGUAUUAGCUAGUAGGUUGGGUAAUGGCCUACAAAGGCGACGAUACAUACACGACCUGAGAGGGUGAUCGGCCACACUGGGACUGAGACACGGCCCAGACUCCUACGGGAGGCAGCAGUAGGGAAUCUUCGGCAAUGGACGAAAGUCUGACCGAGCAACGCCGCGUGAGUGAAGAAGGUUUUCGGAUCGUAAAACUCUGUUGUUAGAGAAGCGGUAUCUAACCAGAAAGCCACGGCUAACUACGUGCCAGCAGCCGCGGUAAUAC